rnacentral:rRNA from 1 species
CUACGGGACGCUCCAGUUAGGGAUAUUCGGCAAUGGGGGAAACCCUGACCGAGCAAUGCCGCGUGAAUCAAGAAGUAUUUCGAUAUGUAAAGUUCUGUUGUUAAGGAAGAAAGGUACGAAUAGGAAAUGAUUCGUAAUUGACGGUACUUAACCAGAAAGCCCCUGCUAACUACGUGCCAGCAGCAGCGGUAAUACGUAGGGGGCGAGCGUUAUCCGGAAUUAUUGGGCGUAAAGGGUGCGUAGGCGGCCUGUCAAGUCCGAGUUGAAAGCCCACGGCUUAACCGUGGAGGGUGCUCGGAACGGAUAGGCUUGAAUCCAGAAGAGGCAAGUGGAAUUCUAUGUGGAGCGGUGGAAUGCGUAGAUAUAUGGAGGAACACCAGUGGCGAAGGCGGCUUGCUGGGCUGGUAUUGACGCUGAUGCACGAAAGCGUGGGGAGCAAACAGGAUUAGAUACCCUAGUAGUC